CCAAUAGCGUAUAUUAAAGUUGUUGCAGUUAAAAAGCUCGUAGUUGAAUUUCGGGAUCAGUACGCUGGUCGUGCCUCCGGUAUGUACUGGUGUCACUGAUUCCUCCCUUCUGACGAACCAUCAUGCCAUUUACUUGGUGUGGUGGGAAAUCAGGACUGUUACUUUGAAAAAAUUAGAGUGUUUAAAGCAGGCUCACGCUUGAAUACAUUAGCAUGGAAUAAUGAAAUAGGACGUUGAUCCUAUUUUGUUGGUUUCUAGGAUUGACGUAAUGAUUAAUAGGGAUAGUUGGGGGCAUUAGUAUUCAAUUGUCAGAGGUGAAAUUCUUGGAUUUAUUGAAGACUAACUACUGCGAAAGCAUUUGCCAAGGAUGUUUUCAUUAAUCAAGAACGAAAGUUAGGGGAUCGAAGACGAUCAGAUACCGUCGUAGUCUUAACCAUAAACUAUGCCGACUAGGGAUCGGAUGAUGUUAAUUUUUUAAUGACUCAUUCGGCGCCUUACG
rnacentral:rRNA from 1 species